AUAAACGCUACCCCUAUUAUCAAAAUAAAAUAGCCCUACCCUAGGCCCAAUUGUGAAUGAACCAUUGCGUUGACUCUUCUCGUAGCGGUUCUUGAAAGCUUUGGCUAAGCCAGGACUUGCCGACCAACAAGUUACUACUGUUUCUUUGGAUAAACCGAAGCCUCUGAGGAAGAAACCAUCUGGAAAGAAAGAAAGAAAAAAAUAAUUCCAUCACAGUGACUGAGAGAACAGAAUUUGCUGAUUGAAUGUCACGAUCCGGUUCUAAAAAAAAGCGAAAGAGAGAGGAUUUAAACAUCCUUAGUGGGAGCAC